rnacentral:rRNA from 1 species
UACGGGGGGAGCAAGCGUUGUUCGGAUUUACUGGGCGUAAAGGGCGCGUAGGCGGCCACCGCAAGUCGACUGUGAAAUCUCCGGGCUUAACCCGGAAAGGUCAGCCGAUACUGCGGGGCUAGAGUGCAGAAGGGGGCAACUGGAAUUCUCGGUGUAGCGGUGAAAUGCGUAGAUAUCGGAAGGAACAUCAGUGGCGAAAGCGACUUCCUGGACCAAUACUGACGCUCAUGUGCGAAAAGCGUGGGGGAGCAAACAGG